AACUUUCCAAUGCACGCAAGUGUGAGAAGGGAAUCCCGAGUGCUUACACAAUGUGUAGGCUUUUGCCAAGGGUAAAUACCUUGGAGAAUAAGUGGGGGGCAAUACCUGUGCCAGCCGCCGCGGUAACCCAGGACCCACAAGUGGCAACCGCUUUUAUUGGGCCUAAAGCGUCCGUAGCCGGAUCUGUAAAUCUUCUGUGAAAUUCUUCGGCUUAACCGAAGAGCGCGCAGGAGACACUGCAUUUCUAGGGACCGGGAGGCGUAAGGGGUAUUUCGGGGGGAGCGGUAAAAUGUUAUAAUCCUCGAAGGACCACCUGUGGCGAAGGCGCCUUACGAGAACGGAUCCGACGGUGAGUGACGAAAGCUAGGGGAGCAAAACGGAUUAGAUACCCGAGUAGUCCUAGCCGUAAACUCUGCAAACUAGGUGUCGCGUAUUCUUCGGGAAUGCGCGGUGUCGUAAUGAAGAUGUUAAGUUUGCCGCCUGGGAAGUAUGGUCGCAAGGCUGAAACUUAA
rnacentral:rRNA from 1 species